AGACGGAGCCAUGGGAGGUUUUCACUCCUGCCUCCUGGAAACACCCCAGGGUUCCCUAUGAAAUCCUGACAGACCCACAAAGCCUGCCCAUUCAUCCAGUGCUAGAAGGACAAUCUUCUGUCUUGCAAGUUAUCCACUCAGACCAGAGUGCCAAAGCCCAGGGGAAGCCUGUGCCUAAGCAUGAAGAAAGCUACCAUUCCAAACAUCCUCACAUCUCUAUUAUUGAUGCUGAAAUCAAAGUGGGAAUGAACAAGUGGCUUUCAAAGAUCUCUGGUCAAAGAUUGAAGCACAAGCACUGUAAGAAUUUAAAUAAGCCACUUAACCAGAAGGGAUUGAGCACUUACCACACCAUUAACUGCUAUGAAAUAAUCAAUGUUCCAGAAAUUUGUGAAAAACCCAAUUUGUCUGUACUUGGUACAGAUUUCUUUUAUGAAGGUGCAUUAGAGGAAAAUUAGAGCAAUACCUUCUCUAGAGGUAACUGAACAUGUGAUAAUCCAUCACUCUAGUGCCAGCAAAGCUUUUUCGGGUAGCUCGAGGACUAGCUGUUCCAGUAGAAUUCUACUUUAAAUAAGAUGUCUCUACAAAGUCUUUCUAUGAUCAGACUAAGCUUCCUGCUAUAGGAUCCUUCUGAUUUGCAAUGUAAGUUCUAACAUCUUUAUGGUGCUAGAGCCAUACUGUCCAUUUCAGCAAGCAAUAACCUAAGCAAGAAGUAGUGUGUAAAAAAACAAACAAACAAAAUACCACAAAAAAAACAAAAAACCCACACGCCACAACACCACUUGCUUCUUACAGCCAAUGCUGCCAAGUAGACACUGCUAUGGAAAGCUGCAUGCACUGUAGCAUUGCUCCUGCCCCUGGCUGUUAGGAGAACUAGGGAUGUUGCUGAAAGCAGUAAUGAGAAGAGAGAAAGGCUAGUCAAGAGUAAGACUAGCUGGCCCUGAGCAAGCACCAGUCCUCUCAACUGUACCCCCAGGUUAAUAGCUCUAGUGGAACAAAACUUCCUUUUCUCUCUUUUUUUUUUGUAGUUUUGUUGUUGCAGAUAAAAUACUCCCAAGCACACAUCCUUUUCCGAAACCUUGCACUCAGUGACUCUCUGGCCUUCCAGCAUCUGGUUACACAUGCUUACACACUCCAUACUCCAACACAUCAGUGGAGAUUCCAAACACACUUUGGAAUAUGCUUCCAAAAAGAAAAAUCCCUUCCCUACUGACUUCAAAUGCCUGAUUCUCUAGUACAGUUUGAUGUCUAGGUCAGAGGAUAUGAAUUAUAUCUCUCAAUACCAUCCUCUGCUACAUGUACCUAAAAAUAAGCUUCUUUGAUAAGACUUCAGAGAUUCACCUGAGAAGAUUUUUUAGUUCUUAAACCACUUAAAGGUCUAAGCAGAGUCACUUGCUAAAACGAGCUGAAACCUCAUUUUGCCUUUUUAGCUCAAUCUAUAACAAACGGCACCUGAAAUUGUGCUAAGUCUUCAGUCAGUUUUUAACAUCAUCUUCCAAACUGCAGAUUUUGGUCUCUAAGCUACAGGGAUCUAAAUCUUAGAAAUUUUAUCAUAUGCCUUACGUUUGUGAAGUUUCUGGGUUCCUUCAGGUGUGCUCAUUUCUCAGGGCAGAGGAAAGAAAGGUCUCUCUAUUUGAUUAAGCAGUUAUUACUUUCAGCUUACUACACAAAUUAUUCUGUGCUAAGUAUGUGAGUUACAGCUUUUUAGGACUCAUGCACAGGAAUGCAAAGUAGUGGCCUUGGUUAUCUGCCAUAAACAGUGAAAAGGGUACUGACUUAUACCAGAAGUACUGAAAACAGCUAAAGCCAACAACUCAGGAGAUACCAGUAAAAUGAACUUUAUUUUAAAGCUCAUUAAAAGGCUUCACAAUAACACUAACAGGAUUAGCAUUUCCUUCAUUUUAUGUACCCCACAUGAAAAAUGUAUUGUUUAGCAAGAGACGAAACAUAAGCGUUUCUGCAUGCUACUAACACAUUUCACCAUCUUAUUAUCAGAUAACUGCUUUGGACUGCAAUGGUCAAAAACCUCAGAAUAGAAGGAUUUUUUUCUGGAAAGUCCUUAUGAAUGGGAUAGACACUGACUUUUUAAUUGACAUACCCAAUUAGAUGUCCAGAUGAAAGAAAACUACCUUGGCAUCUACAAAUGCCUACGAAGGUUUCAGUUACAACCUCUUGAAAGAGCAGUAUGUUUCAGAGCAAGGGCUUCUUUUCAUCUUUAGUGAUGCAAAUGGUUAAAUACUGCACAGAAGCUUAGUAUGAACUCACAAUUCCACAGGAAUCUGAAAGUUACCAAGGCAAUUUUCCUUUUAGGAUAGUCAUGACCAACACUAUUACUAUUCUUUCUCCCAUAAUACAGCAUAUUCCAGACAAGUUUUAAGAAAAAAAUAUAAAUAGUUCCCAAAACAAUGCAUCCCCCCCACCCUGCCUCCAUCACAUACGACAGCAAAAAUAUCUUCCGUCAUGGGAUGAAGUAAUUUGCUGCAAGUGCAGUG